GGCGGACGGGUGAGUAACGCGUAAAGAACUUGCCCUUUAGACUGGGAUAACAGAGGGAAACUUCUGAUAAUACUGGAUAAGUUAGUAUAUCGCAUGAUAUGCAAAUGAAAGCUACGGCACUAAAGGAGAGCUUUGCGUCCUAUUAGCUAGUUGGUAAGGUAAGAGCUUACCAAGGCGAUGAUAGGUAGCCGGCCUGAGAGGGUGGACGGCCACAAGGGGACUGAGAUACGGCCCUUACUCCUACGGGAGGCAGCAGUA
rnacentral:rRNA from 1 species